rnacentral:rRNA from 1 species
CCUACGGGAGGCUGCAGUGGGGAAUAUUGGACAAUGGGGGCAACCCUGAUCCAGCCAUGCCGCGUGUGUGAAGAAGGCCCUCGGGUUGUAAAGCACUUUCAGUGAGGAAGAACGCCUGGUGGUUAAUACCCAUCAGGAAAGACAUCACUCACAGAAGAAGCACCGGCUAACUCCGUGCCAGCAGCCGCGGUAAUACGGAGGGUGCGAGCGUUAAUCGGAAUUACUGGGCGUAAAGCGCAGCGUAGGUGGCUUGAUAAGCCGGUUGUGAAAGCCCCGGGCUCAACCUGGGAACGGCAUCCGGAACUGUCAAGCUAGAGUGCAGGAGAGGAAGGUAGAAUUCCCGGUGUAGCGGUGAAAUGCGUAGAGAUCGGGAGGAAUACCAGUGGCGAAGGCGGCCUUCUGGACUGACACUGACACUGAGGUGCGAAAGCGUGGGUAGCAAACAGGAUUAGAUACCCUUGUAGUC